GACGAACGCUGGCGGCGUGCUUAACACAUGCAAGUCGAACGGAAAGGCCAUGCUUUUGUGGGGUGCUCGAGUGGCGAACGGGUGUGUAUCACGUGUGUAACCUGCCCUUGACUUUGGGAUAUCUUCAGGAAAAUGGGGCUCUUACAGGAUAGGAGAUCCUGCUGCAUGGUGUUGGUUGGAAAGAUUCGGCGGUUGGGGAUGGACUCGCGGCAUAUCAGCUUGUUGGUGGGGUAGUGGCUUACCAAGGCUUUGACGGGUAGCCGGCCUGAGAGGGUGACCGGCCACAUUGGGACUGAGAUACGGCCCAGACUCCUACGGGAGGCAGCAGUGGGGAAUAUUGCACAAUGGGCGGAAGCCUGAUGCAGCAACGCCGCGUGCGGGAUGACGGCCUUCGGGUUGUAAACCGCUUUCGCCUGUGACGAAGCGUGAGUGACGGUAAUGGGUAAAGAAGCACCGGCUAACUACGUG
rnacentral:rRNA from 1 species